UAUAAUCCAAGAUGAAGAAAUCCCUUCAACUCUCGUUUAUGUUCUUAAUUAUCUUCAUCAUUCUCUCACAAGGAAUGAUGGCAGAUGCACAGAAAAAGAAUUGUCCUCAUAAAAUUCCAAUAAAAGGAAGCUAUUGUAUUCCAACUAAAUGUUUGGAUAUGUGUAAGAAGCAACAUGGAACUCUUGGUAGUUGUUCGGAAGAAAAAGGAUUUUGUAACUGCGCUUGUAAGUAAGGAUUCUCACUAAGUGUUAUGAAUCUAAUAAUAUUCAACUUAUAUUAUUUGUUUUAACAAUAAAUGUCUAAAUGUUUGUCUCAUAUUUUUGGAUCUAUUUAAAAUAAAUAAUAAUAUGAAUUUUAAAUAAAUACAAAUGUGUAAAACAUGAGUGAGUAGACUAUUAAUAAAAUAUAUGAUCACAUUAUUGUAAAGUUGGUUUUUUCCCUUCUUCUAACAAGUGGCAUGGGGUUUUGCGACACAUGUCAUCCAUGUAUAUUUUUUUUA